GCCAGUCAGAUCGAUUGAACUGGAAACUGGGCCAGUGACUGGUCUAAUUCAAUAGCUGGAUCGCCUUCGUCGUAUUGUGAUUCCUUUUCUGUGUAUUCCUUUUCUGCUUAUUGUUGUUUGUUGAUGAUAAUUGAAGUGUAUGGUUGUUCUGUGAGGAUUGAAGAGCUUGGUUCGUAGAAGCUUGAAUGAAGCAGAUGAUGAUGAAAUGCGAGAAUCUCAGAAAUGUGUGGAGGAUGAAGAUCGAAGGUGAUGCCAAAGUCUGGAAAACAUGAGAGUUUGAGCCUCCUGAAAAUGUUGACCUAGUGAUGUGCAAGGCUUGAUUAGGCUUGGAAAAUGGAUCAUGCUAUCAAGAUGUUUGGAAAACCAAGAUCACAAACCAAGCGAGGCUUUGCACACAAAAUCCAAAUCAAGAGAUCAGUAAUUACCAUGAAUCAAUCAACUAGGGUUCAUGUUUUGGUCCAAGAAUAUGCUUUUCAAAUUUACUGCAACACCAUAAUCCUUAGGUUUUGAUCCUUGGGCAAACCCUAGGCUUUUGUUAGGCAUAAACAAUCUCAAACCUUGAAUAUACGAUGACUUUGAUAUAUGGGAUGAUAUGAAUAAAUGAUAUACGUGUAUUUGACAUAAAUGAGUAGAGAUGAAUCAAGUCAUAAGUUAGAUGAAAAGUGAAAAUAAGAAGGACAAAUUUUGGGAUA